rnacentral:lncRNA from 1 species
CUAAAAUACAAUUCAUUUAAUAAAUAAAACAUUUAUCUUACAUAAAAGUAUAGGAGAUAGAAAUUAUAACCAGGAACUAUAGAGACAGUACCGUAAGGGAAAGAUGAAAGAAUAAUUUUAUAGUAUAAAAAAGCAAAGACUAAAACUUUGACCUUUUGCAUAAUGAUUUAACCAGAAAACGCUUGACAAAAAAGAAUUUAAGCCAAACACCCCGAAACCAGACGAGCUACUUAUGAGCAGCUAAUAAGAGCCCAUCCGUCUAUGUUGCAAAAUAGUGGAAGGAGGUGAAAAGCCUACCAAGCCUGGUGAUAGCUAGUUUCCAGAUUAGAAUUUCAGUUCUACUUUAAAUUUACCUAAAG